AUCAAGAUGAUGAAAUCAGAAAAAAUCUUAGGACACCUUCUGACACAGUGAAACCUACUGUGUAUGAGAAUGAUUCAGUUAAUCAGUUCUGAU
rfam:Citrus clementina cultivar Clemenules unplaced genomic scaffold scaffold_2, whole genome shotgun sequence.